rnacentral:lncRNA from 1 species
AGCCAGAGUAACCUUUUGUCUACAAUUAAAUAUUCUAGCAUAAAUAUAAAAGAAAAUCAGAGAUGGGAAAGAUUGACUCACGAGAGAUUGGAGAGGUAGAUUCGCACGGUGAUAGUGCAAGCAGCUUGCUUCUAAUUAAAUAUGCGGCUGAGUCUCAAAGCAUUUGCUUUCAGCCGCAGAGAGAAGAAGCUGCCCAAGAAUGGAAAGGAAGAAAUAUAUCACAUCAUCUGUCUGUCCACAGGCUUUCCUCUGGGCUUAUGGAGAUUUCCUAGGGGUAAUUAUUUCCCACUGACUCAGACCACAGGACAGUGUGAGCACGUAACAAAUAUCUUCUUGUCCAGUUCUCAGGUGUUUAGCACCUAUCAGAAUUUCACCUGUAUGGGUCCUGUGCUUGAGAAAGUCCCAGGAGCUGUCAGCUGCAUAGGCCUCACAAAAGACAGCUCUGUUCAGGGUUGGAAAGGGACUGCAGUUAAGAGCUAG